rnacentral:rRNA from 1 species
GGAAUAGCCCGGCGAAAGUCGGAUUAAUGCCCCUAUGGUUCUCCCUUUUGCGGGCAUCUAACGAGGAGCAAAGAUUCAUCGGUAAGGGAUGGGGAUGCGUCUGAUUAGCCAGUUGGCGGGGUAACGGCCCACCAAGGCGACGAUCAGUAGGGGUUCUGAGAGGAAGGUCCCCCACAUUGGUACUGAGACACGGACCAAACUCCUACGGGAGGCAGCAGUGAGGAAUAUUGGUCAAUGGACGCGAGUCUGAACCAGCCAAGUAGCGUGCAGGAUGACUGCCCUAUGGGUUGUAAACUGCUUUAUGCGGGAAUAAAGUCAGGUACGUGUACCUGUUUGUAUGUACCGCAUGAAUAAGGACCGGCUAAUUCCGUGCC